CUUCGAGUCCAAGAAAGAUAAGUAUUUCCGCAUCUGUUCAGAACAUCCUGCAGGGCUCCCAGCUCGGCUAACUCUGUUCUCCCCGCCCCCUUCUGCUCUUCAAAGUCGCUUACUCACCGGCACCAAAUUUGCAUCACAAAGCCAGUUCUCCAUCCGUACAUUCUUUUAAAACUAGAAGUGACUGUCUUUCUGGCUGCAGAAGCUUUUCUAAGCUAGCGGGUAUUGCCAAAGGAAAGAUUCUUUAUCCUUUCAAUGAAGCAACAGACUAUUUCUCCAACUGUGCCCAGGCAUUCCUCAGCCAUCUCUGAAUGGGCUGGAUUGACAAAACAUCUCCCUCUUUGAACUAAUAAUAACCUCGAACAGUCACACUUGGAGCUAAAACAGAACUGAGAGCUACAGGAUACAGGCCCUGCAAGAGAUCAAAAGAAAAGCCAACAACACAAUAGCCUCUCCAAAGCACCAUCCUGGUCCUCCGUCUUUGCUCGUCUUAAGGUGAAACCUGCAGGUUCCAGUGGAUGAACAGCUCCCCUCCCAUCCAAUCCAGGUUUUCAUUCUGAAACUCAGAUCUCUAGUUCCCAGAAACCCUUGAAGAUCCUUGAGUUUUCUGCUAAAAGAAGCUCCGGGAAGAAACACACUCUAGAACAUGACUGUUCUCAAUAGCAAGAUUCUAGUGUCAUGGUGAAAACAUAUCUAUUCAACAUGAAACAUGGAAAUAAGAGUUCUAUCUCAUCAAAUUUCCACACUCACCAGCCAUUCAGGUCAUAGAUUACAGUUCAUGCUUAUUUUAAAACGUUUGAUAAAAAACAGAACUAG